rnacentral:rRNA from 1 species
UAACUCCGGGAAACCGGAGCUAAUACCGGAUAGUUCCUUGAACCGCAUGGUUCAAGGAUGAAAGACGGUUUCGGCUGUCACUUACAGAUGGACCCGCGGCGCAUUAGCUAGUUGGUGGGGUAAUGGCUCACCAAGGCGACGAUGCGUAGCCGACCUGAGAGGGUGAUCGGCCACACUGGGACUGAGACACGGCCCAGACUCCUACGGGAGGCAGCAGUAGGGAAUCUUCCGCAAUGGACGAAAGUCUGACGGAGCAACGCCGCGUGAGUGAUGAAGGUUUUCGGAUCGUAAAGCUCUGUUGUUAGGGAAGAACAAGUGCGAGAGUAACUGCUCGCACCUUGACGGUACCUAACCAGAAAGCCCACGGCUAACUACGUGCCAGCAGCCGCGGUAAUACGUAGGUGGCAAGCGUUGUCCGGAAUUAUUGGGCGUAAAGGGCUCGCAGGCGGUUUCCUUAAGUCUGAUGUGAAAGCCCCCGGCUCAACCGGGGAGGGUCAUUGGAAACUGGGAAACUUGAGUGCAGAAGAGGAGAGUGGAAUUCCACGUGUAGCGGUGAAAAUGCGUAGAGAUGUGGAGGAACACCAGUGGCGAAGGCGACUCUCUGGUCUGUAACUGACGCUGAGGAGCGAAAGCGUGGGGAGCGAACAGGAUUAGAUACCCUGGUAGUCCACGCCGUAAACGAUGAGUGCUAAGUGUUAGGGGGUUUCCGCCCCUUAGUGCUGCAGCUAACGCAUUAAGCACUCCGCCUGGGGAGUACGGUCGCAAGACUGAAACUCAAAGGAAUUGACGGGGGCCCGCACAAGCGGUGGAGCAUGUGGUUUAAUUCG